GCCUUCGUAGUGUAGUGGUCAGCACGCUGACGCGCAACAGAGAGGUCCGUGGUUCGAUUCCCGGCGAAGGCU
rnacentral:tRNA from 1 species